AUCUAUCUAAAUAGUUCAUCAUGUUAAUGCUAUAGCUUUUGUGGCUUUUUUUGAUAAUUUUGGCUGGAGUAUAUGACAUUUUCACUUUAGGGAUACAGGUGGUGGAAUCUGUCCAUGAAAUGAUGCCAAAAUGCAAUGUGUAAACAUUGUCAGAGUGAACUAUGGUCAAAGGCCUCUGGACAGGCUCUUCCUUAUUCUAAAAUGGACAGCAUGAGGCAGAAGUUAAAUUUUAGAGCUAAAAUAGGGUUGGGGACUCCCUCUUCCCAACUACCUUUCCCUAAUCCCAUUCCCAACUCAACUCUUUACCAUUUCCCAUGCUUCCAAAUUUUAAAAGUAGCUUGAGCAAAGUAAUCUACCAAGUUGUAUGUACAGGGAGAAGAGCCUUAAAAGGGGGUCUAAAACCAGAUCCAGCCAUCUGUUUGUCUUCUCAGUUCACAGUCACUUCACCUCUCUAGGACUUUGGGCCUCUGAUAAAAUGAGGAAACAGGACUUGAUUAUCUCUAAGAUGUCUGUAAGGCCAAAACCAUGGCUCUGUAAGUUCAACCUCAUGCACUCAUUUCUCUGAAAUAUUUCUGGAAUCUAUAUGCAUGACUUCUUCCAAGAUGAGAAAAAAAAAACCCCAAAUAAAUCAAAAGGAUAGAUGUUAUAUAUUCCAAUUCAAUGAACAAAAGCCACUUCUUAAACUUUUUGGACAAUGUUAAGGUCCUUAGAACACAAAUAAAGGGAAAUUAAACACAAUUGCUAACACGUGGAAGAGGAGCUUAAAAGGUCUUAGGAGAGGAUCUGGAGGAUUGGAGGGGAGGAAGAUUAGAUUAAAAGGGGGAAUUAAAAAAAAACACUAGAAACAAAAGACUAAGAAUGGUGAAUGAACUGAGAGUUAAGAUUGUGUAAACUGGACAUAAACUUCCACUUAAUUUAAAAAUCCUGUCAUCCAUUUAAUUAUUGUAUAAACAUUUAUUGAGCACCUACUAUGCUUCUGAGUCUAUGACAGGCACGAACGAUCCAUGGUAAGCACAACCAGAUGUGCCGUCUGGAAGCUCUUCUGUCUAGAAUGCCUCUUUUAAGUAUUGUCUGAUCCUUUCAAGGAGUUGAUGGGAGAGAACAAACAAAUACCAAAUAGCUAUGUGAUAAGUGCUAUAGAUAGAACAGAAUGUGGUACUAUAAAAUAUGCAAAAAAAAUUAAUAAGACCUUAUUAUCAUAGGGAAGAGAAAUUUCUUCCAGUUAAGAUCAGGUAAAGUUUUAUGAUGGUGGUGAUGCUUGAGCUGGAUAUAAUUUCAAUAAUUUAGAAAGGGAAUGGGAAGAGCAAGACAUCACAGUGGAGGGACCAGUGUGGGUAAAGGCAGAGGUUGAAAAUCACAGGGAAUACUCAGGGAAAGGUAAGGAUUUCUAGGUGUCUACAUCACUGGUUAUGUAUAGUUAAGGUGAAGAAAAAACCAACAAUUCUUAGAUUCAGAGGAAUCAGAUUUCCUUGGAAGAAUAAAUAGAUGUCUAUGAUAUGUAAAUAUGUGUAUGAUCUAACCUCACGCAAAGUCAUGGGGUGGAAUGAACAGCCUUCAGCGAAAAUGUCCCUCACCCCACUGAAGGAAGUGAAGUAAACAAACAGGAAAUGCAACUGCUGAAUGAAUAUUCACUUCAUUGCAUUUCUGAGUGCAUCAUUCUAACAUUGGAUAAUCAGGACUCCCAUGCUCCCCAAUAGUCGGUAAGAGGCAGUGGUCAUAGGAGCAACCCUUUGGGGACACAACACAGAAGAAACUCUUCAAUCCAACAGUCCAUGUCUUUUAAAGUACUGGCUUCCAUCUCCUUCCCCCAACAUGUCAGGGGCCUAUAGACACAGUGCUGUUGAGGAGCACCAUCUUUCACUAUGUUCUCUCUCUUCUUUAGAACGAACAAACUGGCAAAAUUCUCUUCCACGGAUUCAAGGGACUCUGGUUGCUACUUAUCUUGUCCAGUAAGGUCUCUUCUCUUGUCACUUCUAGCCUAUCAAAUCUUGCCCUAAAUCUUGGCAAACAUUGAUAAUGGCCUCCCAAAGGCCAUAAGACCCGGUAGGGAGAACUAUGUGUAUAGCUCCAAAUGGAACAACCAUGCUCAAACACGAGAGAUUUGACUAGAUAAAGAUGCUACUUCCUUUUGCUAUACACAGGUUGAGGGCAGGGACAAAGGGACUCACCACAUUGCCUUGUACUGUCUUUUUUUCUGGAAGCUCUCUCAUCUUCCCACUUGGUUGUGAGACUCUGUGCAGAGGAGACCAUGUUGUAUCCCUUGCAGAGCCUGGUCUAUAGUUGAUGCUCCACAAAUAGUUGUAAACAUUGCACUUAAUGUUUUCAUUAUAUUCUCCAAUAAAAUGCCCAUAUUUUGAAUUUUGAAUGACAUACCUUAAACUUCUGAGAUUCAGCUAUAGUAAUUGUUUUCCUGUGGAGGAAAUAUGGAUUUUUCUGAUGAAAAUAAGUCUGUGUCAGAUAUUUUACUCCAGGUAUAGAGAUACCUGACUAUACACUGCUUACACAUGUUAAAGUUGGGGGAAAAAAAAACUAGCACAAAUAAUACAAUUGUGCAACAGUGAUAGUUUAAGAAUGAAUAUAUAUAUACAUAUAUAUAUGUAUAUAUAUACCUUUCAAACUAGAGAAAGAUUGGAUCACUUAUUUAACUUUUACUCAACACUCGUUCCCAUACUCAUUGAAAAUUAUGGUAGGUUUGAAAAUAAUAUUUGUAAAAAUUUGACCCAUGGCUUUUUCUUUGGGUCAAGCCUACAUUGGUUCUGAUACCAGACUAUUAAGAGUCACAGGAUUUCAGUGCUUUUUACAUAAACACUGUCAGGAUUUCACAAUCUUCCACUCUUUAGGUACUGCAAUUAAUAAUAUUAGGCAAAAAAAAAGUGUUUUGUAGCAUAAUUUGGGGAGAUACUGGUACAGCUUCAGAGAUAUCCUUAUCUGUGCCUGGCUUACAUCCAGUUCCAUUGCUUAUCUUGCUUAGUGCUCAGUGAGUUGUUACCAAGUGUGAGCUUACUGUCCUACAACAAAAUCCAACAAGGGAAACUAGCAGAUGAAGUAAUGCUUCUAGAGCUGGAACCAGUGUAUUAUUUCCCUUCCCUUUCAGUUUUCUCUCUUUACUUCCCCUGGAAUUGCUCUUUGGGAAGAUUAUGACAAUCACAUUGUUAAAAGUCCAGGGGAGUCAAUAUUCCUAGAUUUUCAUUUAUUCCUUUUAAUCAAACAUCAGAAAUCUCUGGCUUCUCCAAAAUAGAAGGCUUGCAAUCUAUAUCCUCACAAGAGAAUGUUUCCAAACCAUUCUCUUGCAGAGAAUGUCAAAGGUGAGGAAGAUUGGAACCUGUCCCACUAGCAAUCGGCUGGCAGGCUUAGAGAGAGUCCUCGAUAUGGUAAAAUUCAACACUUAAAAAACAGAAGUGGAAACACGGUUCUAUUAAGGCAUUGUCACCCUUGCUCUUGAACACACAGUUUGUUGUCAGAGACAGAAGUGUUCCACCUUUGCACCUUGGUUAAUGCUACUAAUCCAGGUUCCUUGAUCACCCAAGAAACUUCUUCCCAAGCUGGAAGCUGGAACCAUCAGUAGAUACUCAAGUGUCUCCAAACAAUUAGAACUCUAAGGGGCCCUCUUAGUCUUGUGUCAACAGGAUAGAAGCAGCCGGCCACUGCCUUUGGAACAUCAUGGGGAGUUAGAGGGAUGAAUCUAUAGCAGCAAUAGCAGCAAUGAAGAGAGGUCAGUUUUACAUACUAGAAACAGAAAUGACCCCGAAAGUUUCCAAAUAUAACUAGAAAACUUGACUGCAUCUGCUUUGACUUUUGUAGAGUGGGAUGUUUCAGAAAAUACAUUCUCUGAAAUGUUUAGAUCAAAUGAAGCUGAAAGGCUGCAUUGGAGAGCUGACACCCAGGAUCUCCUAUAAUAUUAACCCACACGCUUUCUAUGCACAUCCUUUUUUCCACAGCCCAUGUUCUAUUAUCUUUCUAUAAUGUAUACUUGGGUGAUGGUCUUACUGAGUGAUGGGGAAACAUUCUGGGCCAAGGCAAGAUGCUUUUCUUAGUGGAAAGCAGUUGUAUUGCUUGGGAAAAAAGGUUCAUGCAGGUGAUCUCACAUCUGAAGAUUUCCCCCCAAUAACCAGAUGACCAGAUAACUACAACCAUAAGAGAGGGCACAUCACCAACCCAGUGUUUGAACAUUUUAUUGAGCCUCACAAAGAUUUAGCAUUGCUGUGAGAGGAAUUUUACUGGAAACUCAACCCUGCUCUUCUUGAUACUACGUAAAGGAUCCAUCUUCCUAACUUAUUGAAUUUCAUUAUUUGCAUAACUUUUUACUGACCUAGUGUUUCAAUAAACCUGCUCUUUGGUCAGUAUAUCAGGAGUCAGUCAAACAUAUUGUCUGAUUGAAUUCACCAAAGGCUUAGAGUAAUAGUCUUGUACCAACAUGCCGACAUGGUGGUUUAUCUGGUUAUGUUGUAUUGUUGCCUCUUGAUAACAGUGUCUCCAUCAGAGUAGACAUUCUUGAUCUGUGUGCCAAUGAGGGGCAGAAAUUGACUGAGGGCGGCAUUAACAGCCAAUGAAAAGACAGGUUAGGAAACACACUAUGUUUUCUAAAUAUUUAAAUUUUGGUGAAGAUAUUAAAUAGAUUUUAUGAUUUAUAGUAAAAUGUUUUUUUCUGGCUUCCUUCAUCUAGUCAUUUUGGCAAAUUCAAAUACUUUUCACUUAAUAUUUGAAUGUAUAAAUCUAAUUUCUUCAUUUUCUUUCAUCUGAGUACACCUUCUCUUCAGUUCACCUGGUGAAAUAUAUUUCAGUACUACUUUUUAAGCAAGCAAUUUUAUUAGUAAUAUGUGUGCAGCCAUCUUUAGGAUUAAAAACAAAUUAAUGUUGAUUUGUCAUCCUCUCUUUAAAACUGCCUUUUUCAUAUUGAAAGUGGUAACCCAAUGGAAGACCCGGAAGUGACUGGGAUUGUUAGAUGUUUAUAUAAUUAACAGUUCUAAUUAACGGGGACGCAUGUAUUUUACAGGUUUCAAUGAGUGAUAAAUCAGCACGAUGUAAAUAUUAGCAUGUUAUACUGAUUUUGAGUAUUCCUUGCCAAAAAUCCACUCAUAUUUUGAAAUUACUAUGUCUAGAUGACUUAUGUCUGAAGGUGGAAAUUAUCAUAAGGGAGCUUUUGUGACAAUGUAUUAUAAGCCAUGUAAGUUGGUUUUUAAAAGUUGUCCACUAAUGUCUAUUUGGUUUGCAAAUCUGUAGGAAUUCUACCAGUAUUUUUCAGUGCUUGUUCUUUGCACCUCUGAUCCUUCUCAUUCCCCUUCAUUGUGUCUUACUGAUCCACCAGAUAUAGACAGCUGCCUCAGGAAAAAGAUCUCAAUAAAAAUCAAAGACCAAGAGUGAAACUGUCAGCUAUGACUUCCUGCUGCUGACGAUGUGCCUGGAUCCAGAGGGUUUCUCCUUGGUGGUCUGGAAAGAGAUCAACUGCUGGCUUGGUCUUCUGCCUUCAUGGACUGGACUCAAACCUGUUGGAUGCUGUUUCUACUGUGACAAUGCUACAGGUCAGAGCAACCCAUAGUCUUUUCAGAGAACUAUGAUUUUUGAGAACUUGAGUUUUCAUGAUCCUGCUAGUUAGUUUAAAAUAUUUCUGAGCAGGGACCUGGUUGGCUCACUCAGUUAAACACCCAACUUCGGCUCAGGUCAUGAUAUCAAGGUUUGUGAGUUCGAGCUCUUCAUCAGGCUCUGUGCUUUCAGCGCGGAGCCUGCUUUGGAUCCCAUCUCCCUCUCUCUCUGCUCUUCCCUCACUCAAGCUCUCUCUCAAAAAUAAGUAAACAUUAAAAAAAAUAUUUCUGGGGUACCUAGGUGGCGCAAUUGGUUAAGCAUCUGACUUUUGAUCUCUGCUCAGGUCAAGAUCUCACAGUUGGUGAGUUCGAGUCCCAUGUCGGGUUCUGCACUGAUCGUGUGGAGCCUGCUUGGGAUUCUGUCUUUCCUUCUCUCUGCCCCUCCCCUGCUUGUGCUUUCUCUCUCUCUCAGAAUAAAUAAACUUAAAAAAUAAAAAAAUAAAAAAUAUUUCUGGGAAUAAAAUAUUAAAAUAUAUGUAUAUAUAGUUAUAUAGGGUUUCUACUUUCCUAUAACUUUUUGAAAGUGUUUGGUAAAUAGAUAGAUCUCCUCAGAGCCGAAUUGUAUUGGGCCCUUGCAUUGUUGUAAAUGUUUGCAGAGCCAACCUAGAAGGGUCCUUUCUGACAUGUCUUUUCUUCCCAGUGUCCUGAUAGAUUAUGUUGAACCAUUUCAUAAUUGCUCCAAAUGCUUAAAUAUCUGUGAUGAAAGAUACUUCUGCCUAGUGAUAUAGCGAGAAAUUUCUGGGGUCAUAAGUGAAAAUACUGAAGCUUAAAUAAACUGAUGAUACUUAAGUCCCUUUCUUUGCAAUGUAGGAAAUAAUUAAGCAGAAGUGAAUUCAGAGAGAGGAACAAAGAAAGCAAAAUGAUUAUACCAAGCAUUUACUUAGCUGUUUACUGGAGUGACCCUUUUCUGUUCCACAGAGCUUUAAGUUAGAGAAAAAGUCCUUUCUCUCAGACAGUACAUUUUAAUAAGUCAUCUUAUAUAUAGGUGCUUGUUCAAGCAUCUGAGAAGGGGGAGGAGGGAGAUAUAACCAUGUGUUUCACAGUUUUCAAACAGUAAUAAGCUUACUGUUGAGAAUUAAACAUGGACGAGUCCCUUCUUCCUCAUCCAAAGUCACAUAGAUACCCUAUUUUGGUACCUCAUGACUCAUAUUUGAUAGCUAUGCAUAGAUUAUUGUAUGUCUCAAUUCUUCUUCCAUUACCAAAUAACAGUAUUCAUAUAAACAAAAAUAUGCAGACCAUCUACCAUAUGCCAAAUCGUGGAACGUAAAGAAUUAUAUGAGAUUGAAUUUGUUUCUGACUGCCUCUCAACCCCCCCCCCAAAUAAAGGCAAAUAAAAAAUGUGAGAAGGACUUAUUGCCAAUCAUUUAAUUCAAGUCAUUCAACUUAAUAACAUGGAUACAUAUUUGUUUUAUGUUGUCAUUUGAAAACAAUGCUUUUUAUCUCUCUUACCUGAAGGAUCUUAUCACCAGGCUGCAGCAGAUUGGAUGCUGGUCCAUCAGGCUGAACCCUAGUAACAAAGAUACCCUAUAAGUCAGAAGUAACAGAGGUUAGGAUUAUUAUCAAGAACUAGCCCUAGUUAAAAAAAAUUUUUUCAUUCACAUAGAAACAAUGAAAACAGACUAGAAAAAGUUUACAUAUGUAAGCUUCAAAGGUUAUUACAGCAUUUUAAGCAAGGUACCACUCUUCAAGUCAAGUUUGAGAAGCAACAUCUUAUUUGGAUAACAAAGGUUUAUCUUGUUUUUAAAAUACACUUAUAAUUUAUAAAUUAAUCUCAUAGCAUAGUCUUAAUCGCUUUCUUAAAUAGUUUGAAAUAUGGUACUAAGCGAUUCUCCAUAUAAUUCUGAAAUUGUCCUAAGGUAUUCUUCAUUGAAAAUGUAUUCUAUUCGAUAGGUUGUAAUCUGUGUACACUUUAAAAACCUUAUCAGAAUUACAUGUAAAUAUUGGUUUAUUUUAAUCAGUAUUACUUUGUACGUUACUGGGAAUUUUAAUAUAAAAUGCGUAUGAACAAAUUAAGCAUAAAAAAAUUCCAAGCAUAAAGUUUCUACCCACAUAGUUACAAAACCCCUAAAUUGAUUAAUUUAGUUUAUAAAA